CACUAAGAAGCUAACACGGAAAGCACUAGCCUUUUAAGCUAGUAUCGGUGACCACCAACCACCCUUAGUGA
rnacentral:tRNA from 1 species